UACGGGAGGCAGCAGUGGGGAAUUUUUCGCAAUGGGCGAAAGCCUGACGAAGCAACGCCGCGUGGAGGAUGAAGGCCUUCGGGUCUGUAAACUCCUGUCGACCGGGACGAAAGUAGGAUGGCCUAAUACGCCGAUCUAUUGACUGUACCGGUGGAGGAAUCCACGGCUUAACUCUGUGCCAGCAACCCGCGUGU
rnacentral:rRNA from 1 species